rnacentral:pre_miRNA from 12 species
GGCUGCCCGGCAGCAGUUCUUCAGUGGCAAGCUUUAUGUCCUUCUCUAGUAUCUAAAGCUGCCAGUUGAAGAACUGUUGAAUGUAGCC